rnacentral:rRNA from 1 species
AUUGAACGCUGGCGGCAGGCCUAACACAUGCAAGUCGAGCGGCUCGGCGGCCGGGUGCGUAAUGCCAAGGAAUCUGCCUGUUAGUGGUGGAUAACGUCCGGAACCGGGCGCUGUUACCGCAUCCUCUCGGAUGCGCCUGGGUCGGAUUAGCUAGUGGGUGGGGUAAAGGCCUACCAAGGCGACGAUCCGUAGCUGGUCUGAGAGGAUGAUCAGACACACUGGAACUGAGACACGGUCCAGACUCCUACGGGAGGCAGCAGUGGGGAAUAUUGGACAAUGGGCGAAAGCCUGAUCCAGCCAUGCCGCGUGUGUGAAGAAGGUCUUCGGAUUGUAAAGCACUUUAAGUUGGGAGGCGUUACCAACAGAAUAAGCACCGGCUAACUUCGUGCCAGCAGCCGCGGUAAUUC